rnacentral:sRNA from 1 species
AUGAUACUAAGGUGCUGUUUAAAGGCAAAGUAAACGAUGAUCCAUCACCAACUCUACGUUAGAAUGAUAGAUUGACAGGUAAGUAUGCCUGUGGACUUCAGAUUGUGCUGAAUUACACUUCUUUUU